rnacentral:tRNA from 111 species
GGAAGGAUGGCUGAGUGGCUUAAGGCGCUCGCCUGGAAAGCGAGUAUACGUUUAUAGCGUAUCUGGGGUUCAAAUCCCCAUCCUUCCACCA